GUUGGGGAAGAAGCUCUCUUAAGCCAAGUCCGAGGCUUAUUCAUGCUAGGAUGCACUCGCAAGCCUUAACUCUAGCGGUGUUGUCUGGUGCAGCAGCUUACCAUUACUAUGAAAAGAAUGCUAGCACUCAAGACAGGAUCACCACCAAUGCCUAGAACAGAUUCAUACCUCAUUAUUAUGUUAAUUAUGUAACAUUGGAAUCUCUUUUUUUAUGGAUUAGUGGUUGAUGAUGAUGAAAAUAUUAGAAUUAAUGAUA